rnacentral:rRNA from 1 species
GAUGAACGCUGGCGGCGUGCCUAAUACAUGCAAGUCGAGCGAACGGACGAGAAGCUUGCUUUUCUGAUGUUAGCGGCGGACGGGUGAGUAACACGUGGAUAACCUACCUAUAAGACUGGGAUAACUUCGGGAAACCGGAGCUAAUACCGGAUAAUAUUUUGAACCGCAUGGUUCAACAGUGAAAGACGGUCUUGCUGUCACUUAUAGAUGGAUCCGCGCUGCAUUAGCUAGUUGGUAAGGUAACGGCUUACCAAGGCAACGAUGCAUAGCCGACCUGAGAGGGUGAUCGGCCACACUGGAACUGAGACACGGUCCAGACUCCUACGGGAGGCAGCAGUGGGGAAUAUUGGACAAUGGGCGAAAGCCUGAUCCAGCCAUGCCGCGUGUGUGAAGAAGGUCUUCGGAUUGUAAAGCACUUUAAGUUGGGAGGAAGGGCAGUAAGUUAAUACCUUGCUGUUUUGACGUUACCAACAGAAUAAGCACCGGCUAACUUCGUG